rnacentral:rRNA from 1 species
UACGUAGGCAGCGAGCGUUGUUCGGAGUUACUGGGCGUAAAGGGUGUGUAGGCGGUUGUUUAAGUUUGGUGUGAAAUCUCCCGGCUCAACUGGGAGGGUGCGCCGAAUACUGAAUGACUUGGAGUGCGGGAGAGGAAAGUGGAAUUCCUGGUGUAGCGGUGAAAUGCGUAGAUAUCAGGAGGAACACCUGCGGUGUAGACGGCUUACUGGACCGUAACUGACGCUGAGGCACGAAAGCGUGGGUAGCAAACAGG